rnacentral:rRNA from 1 species
ACCUGCAGUCGAGCGGUAGCAGGUGUAGCAAUACAUGCUGACGAGCGGCGGACGGGUGAGUAACGCUUGGGAAUCUGCCUGUUAGUGGGGGACAACCAACCGAAAGGUUGGCUAAUACCGCAUACGCACUACGGUGGAAAGCCGGGGACCGCAAGGCCUGGCGCUAACAGAUGAGCCCAAGUCGGAUUAGCUAGUUGGUAGGGUAAUGGCCUACCAAGGCGACGAUCCGUAACUGGUCUGAGAGGACGACCAGUCACACCGGAACUGAGACACGGUCCGGACUCCUACGGGAGGCAGCAGUGGGGAAUAUUGGACAAUGGGGGCAACCCUGAUCCAGCGACGCCGCGUGGGUGAAGAAGGCCUGCGGGUUGUAAAGCCCUUUCGGUUGGGAAGAAAAGUUCUGACCUAACACGUCGGGACCUUGACGUAACCAACUAAAGAAGCACCGGCUAACUCUGUGCCAGCAGCCGCGGUAAUACAGAGGGUGCGAGCGUUAAUCGGAAUUACUGGGCGUAAAGCGCGCGUAGGCGGCUUUUCAAGUCGAUUGUGAAAUCCCCGGGCUUAACCUGGGAACUGCAGUCGAGACUGUCUAGCUAGAGUAUGGGAGAGGGAAGUGGAAUUUCAGGUGUAGCGGUGAAAUGCGUAGAUAUCUGAAGGAACAUCAGUGGCGAAAGCGACUUCCUGGACCAAUACUGACGCUCAUGUGCGAAAGCGUGGGGAGCAAACAGGAUUAGAUACCCUGGUAGUCCACGCCAUAAACGAUGAGAACUGGAUGUCGGAGGGGUCUGCCCUUCGGUGUCGUAGCUAACGCGUUAAGUUCUCCGCCUGGGGGAGUACGGCCGCAAGGUUGA